CCCCCUGCACAACCCCUCGCUGCCCAAGCCCUUGGCUGAGGCUCAUCACGUCUUCCUGUUUAUUUCUGAUGAGAGCAAUGACCGCGUCUGCAGGGCGCAUCCCAGCCUUGUGUGCUCACAGCCACAUCCAGCUGGACCCAGCUGUCCCCCGAGGGGAUGCCACGUAUCCCCCCAGCCAUUGGGAUCCGUUGGGGUGUUGUUUUCCUUCGUCCUUGGACUCCCCAGCACAAUGGCUGUGCUCAGCCCCAGCGGCUGUGCGACGCCUCUGUGUGGAACGAGAUUUAAAGCGGCGCAGCAAAUAGGUGAUAGAAAAACCAAACUCUAUUAAAAACCCAUUUUCUGCAGGCUGCUGGCAGCUGGCUGAGCAGAGGCAGGAAGGAGGCUGUGAGCACUGAGACAUGAGCUGCCGAUGGCUGUGGGAUGGGCACACGCUGGCAGCACCGAGGACUUAACGCUGCUCAGCCCUGGAAACAACGCUAUCCGUUUCAAUUAGAGCAAGCAGGGAAGCGGCUAUUAAGUGCUUCGUUAUUAUGGUCUUCUCCCAUCCGUGACAUGAAAGAUGAAGACAAUGGUGGCUCCAGCAGUGCAGUGCCUCUCUCUCAUCCCAGAGGUGGAGAGGAAUCGCUUAUGAUGACACGGCUGUGGGCGUGCAGCUGCCUCAGCCCCCCCCUUUGCCCAAAUCUUCGGCACCCCCAGCGCAGGGCAGUGAGCAGCAGUGACAGUGGUGCACAUGGAACCCAUCCUCCACCACCACCAUCCCCGUGCCACCGUGGGAGUGCUGGGGACAGCGUGUCCCGUGCUAGCGAUCACGCUCAGCUCUGCUGUCAUUGCUGCUGCCUGAGCCCCGGCAAUGCUUAUGAAUAAAUGAA